rnacentral:rRNA from 1 species
UUGUCUUUUAAUUAAGGACUGGAAUGAAAGGUUUGACUAUGUAUUUCUGUCUUAUAAUAAUAUUUUGAAAUUUAUAUUUUAGUAAAAAAGCUAAAAUUAUCUAUGGGGACGAGAAGACCCUAUCAAGUUUUACAAUCCAGAAUUUAUUUUCAAAUUAAAUUUUAAAUUGUUUUGCUGGGGCAGCAGAUAAAAAUUUUUUAUUUUAAAAUUAUGAUAAAUAAAUCUUGAAAAAUCAAAAAAUUUUUAAUUAAAAAUAAAUUACUGUAGGGAUAACAGCAUAAUUUUUUUAGAGAGUUCUUAUCAUCAAAAAAGUUUGUGACCUCGAUGUUGGAUUAAAAUUCCUAAUUCGUGCAAUAAUGAAAUAA